rnacentral:rRNA from 1 species
UACGGGGGGGGCAAGCGUUGUUCGGAAUUACUGGGCGUAAAGGGCUCGUAGGUGGCCAACUAAGUCAGACGUGAAAUCCCCAGGCUCAACUUGGGAACUGCGUCUGAUACUGGAUGGCUUGAAUUCGGGAGAGGGAUGCAGAAUUCCAGGUGUAGCGGUGAAAUGCGUAGAUAUCUGGAGGAACACCGGUGGCGAAGGCGGCCCUCUGGACGAUGACUGACGCUGAGACGCGAAAGCGUGGGGAGCAAACAGG